rnacentral:rRNA from 1 species
CACACCACGAGAGUUUGUAACACCCGAAGUCGGUGGGGUAACCUUUAUGGAGCCAGCCGCCGAAGGUGGGAUAGAUGAUUGGGGUGAAGUCGUAACAAGGUAGCCGUAUCGGAAGGUGCGGCUGGAUCACCUCCUUUCUAAGGA